GACGAACGCUGGCGGCGUGCUUAACACAUGCAAGUCGAACGAGUGGCGAAUGGGUGAGUAAUGUCUGGGAAACUGCCUGGUGGAGGGGGAUAACUACUGGAAACGGUAGCUAAUACCGCAUACCAUCAGAUGUGCCCAGAGGGGAUUAGCUUGUGGGUGGGGUAACGGCUCACCAAGGCGACGAUCCCUAGCUGGUCUGAGAGGAUGACCAGCCACACUGGCACUGAGACACGGUCCAGACUCCUACGGGAGGCAGCAGUGGGUAAUAUUGCACAAUGGGCGCAAGCCUGAUGCAGCCAUGCCGCGUGUAUGAAGAAGGCCUUCGGGUUGUAAAGUACUUUCAGCGGUGAGGCGUUACCCGCAGAAGAAGCCCCGGCUAACUCCGUGCCAGCAGCCGCGGUAAUAC
rnacentral:rRNA from 1 species